GAGGUAGCAGUCCUUCGUGGCCUCUGCCUCAGCUCCUGCUUCCUGGUUCCUGCCCUGCUUGAGUUCCUGUCCUGGCUUCCAUCAGUGAUGGACUGCAAUGUGGUAGUGAAAGCCGAACAAAGCCUUUCAUGGCGUUUAAUCACAGCAGUAGUUAUUCUAACUAAGAUAAAUUGGGGCCAGGAUAGUGGAGUAUUGAUCUCACAGACCUGACCCUGUUGUUUAUGGGAGGACCGUGGAAGGACUUUGGAAUUUCGAGCUAGAAAAGCCAUUAAGUGUCGAGAGCUCAGUGGGAUGUUCUGUAGGAACCUGGAAGAUAAGAAUGCUGAGAGCAGUGUGGACGAUGGAGACCCGGCUUGUGAAGUUCCAGAGGGAAGCGAAGACUAUGGGGCCAUUUGAGCUAAGAAUCUGGUACUGGCCAGCUGGAGCUGAUGAUUAACAAGAGACUAGCACUACUGAAGUGAAACUUUUGCUUUUCUGGGACAGUGGAUGCUGGCCAGCUGGGGCUGAAGAAGCAGCUGUGAUUAACAAGAGACCAGCAUCACUGAGAUGAAAUCUUCCUGGGAAGUAUUUCCUAAGAGUCAGCAUACGAAGUUGUGUUUCAGAGGCGGCCAAGGUUGUACCUGGUGCCGGCAGCUGAACUUGGUAGUGUAAGAGUCACCCAGGUGGUGCUAGAUUUGAAGGCACGAAGGGGUCAUGGAGAGCAGCUGAGGCUUGGCACUGUGUGGCAGGGCUGGAGUCCCUGAAGGGAACCUGUUGGUGAAAGGGACCCUAGCAUUUUGAAGAUGCCAGCACCAUGCAAUGACCACCAGGAACAGCAGCGGAUGUGGAGCCUAGAAGACGAGCUGUGUGCUGCAGAGAGCAGAGCCAGAGACGAGGAGGAACUCUCUGAAGGGGCACACAAAACACUCCAGGAUGAACUGGGCAGAGCCCUCUCCAAAAGGAAAGGCUGGAACUCAUCUCUCCCUGACUGCUCUCCAAACCCACUUCCAGAGAAGGUAUCAGAGGGCCUUUCAGGAUGAAGGCCAAGUCAGAUCAAAGGAAGCUGAGAACGUGCGCUCAUCACCUACCCAGGGCCAAGAAGAAGCUGUGUUAUCAGUGUCCAGGUGGCCUCCGAGCCCAGUGUCAACACCUACUCUCAGAAGCAUACCGCCCUGCUACAGACAGCUCGCACACACACGGUGGUGAAAGGUCUGCUGCCAUCGUGUUACUGGUCAGCACAAAUGAGUGCCCCAAGGGUCCUGGGGAAGGGUGCCGAGUGGCCUGUUCACAACAGCAGGGAAGCAUGGAGUACCUAAGAACUUGCAGGGCAUGGGUUGCAUGAGCAAAGUUUCAAGAGGGACAUCCCUGGGAGAACGUCUAUUUCCAGUUGAGCUCUGGAGGCCUUGGCAUAGCCACCUUGUUUUUGAUGUAGGGUCUCACUGUAGUCCAGGCUGUCCUCAAACUCAUGGCAACCAUCCUACUUGGGCCUCCUGACUGACGGCCAGGAUUGUAGGUGUAAGUCACUACCUCUCUUGCCCUAGACUCUUAAACCCUGUUUUUACACCAUGUGACACCUUGUACUCCACACCCUGGCUUGUGCCAGCCAGCUCUCUCCAGAGGCAUCAUCAGCAACAGCAGAGCCCCGGUGAGACAUUUCUCACAGGGUGAGAAUCACCCUUCUUGUGCCUGUCACCAGAGGGAUGCUUCUGAGUGUACGUUUGGUGUCAAGUGACAACACUACGAUAGAGCCUGGUGGGCCUGCAUGUUUUAUAUCCUUGAGAACUCUUUGGCUUCAAAGAGCCUUGAGAUCCUGGCACUUGUCAGUAGCCUGAGUGACUGAGCCCAUAACACACCUGACUGUAGGUGUGGACUUCCACCCCUACUCUGCAGAGAGCCACUCAGUCACCUCAGGACCUCCUGAAGUCCCGAGACUGGGGGCUCUAGCAGCUCUCUGCCAGCCAUGGAGGCUCAGAUGACCAGGCCAUCUUGAGUGGCCACAGGUAUUUGGCACACCUGACCAAUGGCAAAUAGACAUUCAUGACUCAAGUAGGGGUGCGUUUCUGGUUUUGUGAUGCUAAGUUCUGGAUGACAGAGUUUAGCUGUUCCUAAGCUUUGCUGGCUGAGCUACCCAGGGGAUCAUGUAGCCCCAGUGGUAUCUUACAGCUGUUCCUUCUCAAGACCUGAGCCCUGUAGAUCUUCAAAUCUUUCUUGGUUCCUUUCUUACAGGCUUUCCUUCUGGGCUGGAUUGAAUGCUGGGACAAGAAUGUUCCUCGAGUCUGAUUUUCUAGCGUUGCCUCCACUCACCUGCCUCCCUCACUACUGUGGGACAAUGGCUCUGUGUAACAUGGGAUCUGGCAACUUUCCUGCUAUGUAUGGCACAGCCAGCUUUCUUCUUUAAGAGCAUCUCCAGGCUGCUACUGCAAGGGCUCUGCUCAAAGACUUCUGCCCUAGGACUAGAGCGACACGCACUUCAGCAGACAGCUAUGGUGAUGUGUGUACCUUCCAUGCACAGGGUCACUGUUUCCACCAGCACUCUUGUGAAGGGAAAAGGCAGUCCCCACACAUCAGGAGUCAGAAGAGGUAGGACCUCAGUCAGUCCCCAGGGCUCUUGAGAAAAGGCAGUAAAUGGGGCAUGUCAACAGCUUAGCUGGCCCCUUCAGUCCAGCUACACAGCAGACCACAGAAAGAGUGACAAGGACGGGACAGGACCAUGAUUGCUGUGUGGGAGACUUGGCAGGCAGUGCUACUAGGUGGGGAAGAACAGGAAGUCUCUCCAAGCAGGGACCAACAAGAGAAGGAAAGGCAGCCCACAAAAAGGCAAUAUUUGGGAAGGCAAGUGUCCUUAUGUGGCAGGUGAUAGUGGGUAAUCUUCAUAGAGAAAAGUUACCAGAGGACAGAGGAAUAAAUCAGGCAAGUGAGGCCAGAGCUUCUGAGGCAGCCUGGAUGUGCUGAGAGGCACUGAUUUUGACCAUGAGCUCCCUGCCUAGGAACCUGUGGUUGGUCUACUACUGGUAGAUCCGGACAGACAGCAAUGGUGGCAUCAGGGUCAAACAGGCCUAUUUUGCCUUACCCAGUGGUGCCUCUCCUGUCCACAAUGCCUCCCUUUACUUUCUCCCUUCUAAGCAGCUGUGAACUGGUCUGGGUCUCCCAGUGCCUCCUUAGGAUACCGGAGGGCUUACAACCGUCUCCUCUGGGCCCUGACUUCAGGCUGCAUGGGGAGCCAUUGCAAAGCUGCUUUCAUUUCAUCUCAGGAGGGGAGCCUAGGAAAGCCUCCUCUGGCCAGCACACUGAAAACAACUAGUGUAAUCUAUCUAUCUAUCAUAUACAUACAUACAUACAUACAUACAUACAUACACAUAUGCCUACUGAUCCCCGGUCCCUAAAGAAUAGCUGUUAGGGCUUGAGGGUUUUAGUUCUCUGGCUGGUCUAGGGGAGUGUUUGUGGGAGGGUCAUGAAGAAACAGCAGAGAAAGGGUACAGUCUGAGAUCAGAUGGUGGUCUCUGUCAGGCAUUGGUACUCUGGCAGACAGGAAAAGCUAGGCAUGAUGGCUUGAUCACAAGACAGAAAGGGCUGAGCAGAACUGACAGCUUUGUGGGCAUUCCAGCUCCCAAGAAGGCCCAUGCCCCACUGUUUCUGCCUGCUCCAUAAUGGCAGUAGGAAGGAACCCUUUGAAGUCCUGGGUGAUGUCAGAAGAAGAACACCCUACAGAGCAGGAUCAGCUCCACAGAGGCACAGUCAUCCCCUAGCCAGAAUGGUGACAUAUCAGAUGCAAGUACAAAGGUUAACCUGGCAUAGGCCUCUUCUGUGACACCCAAGCGAGAAGGCCGGAAAAGCGCUUACCCACCAGGAAUGGGGUCACCUGGCGAGAGCAGGGGCCCUCUGAUGACAAAAUACGACCCAGGACCAGCACUGUGCUGCUCUUUCUAAGCCAAGCUGAACUCGACAAACGAUUAUCAGAACAUAACCCCUCCAUGUGCAUCCUCAGCAUGAGGGCCAGGGAUCUUCUCAGCCCACCUCAGUGCUCUCCCUCCCGGCUCUGUUCUACUUACUGGUGCCUCUUACAUGAGGGACACACUCCACACUACUUCCCUUUGGUUUUCUGUUUGCUGUUUCCUCACGAAAUGCCUGCUUCCAGAUAGUAUGACCAAGUUCUGUUCAGGCUUCCAGAAGUGUUCCUGGCAGACAACCAUCUCCAGCACCCACAUUCACACCACCCCAAGACCCACACUAGGGGUGCCUGGGCUAAGGCUUGGGCAUGGACUCAAGUUUAGGGAGUUUAACAGUGGACUCCAAGCUGAAGGGAGCAUUCCCUUACUAUGUGCCCACACAUAGGCAUCCUGUCUUCUAUACAGGGACUCCCCAUCCAUAGCCUUUGGAAGCCACAGUACCUCUGCACCAGAUGCCUCUGCCCAAGGCAGUUAUGCCUGGUUGAUCCAUGCCAAGUUAUAGCCGAAGCAUGGUCCCCAGUGAAAGACACUACAGCUAGGGAGAGUCUACUCCGGAAAAACAGCCCCAUGUUAAACCAAUGGUUGGUCUCCCUUGUAGCCCUCAGCUGGCCCUCAUUUGCCUCAUUGCCUCAAGAGCCCCAUUCCAAAUGCUUGAGCCCAUGACUGAGUGUUCCUCUGCAAAGAGGGAACAGUGUUUAGGGCACUAGACAACCUGUACCCUGCCAGUGAUGCGCUGGGGUCUAUCUCAAAGGUCCACAAGGCCUCAUCUUGGCUUAUCUUGUUUUGUUUUGCUUUUUGAAACAGGGUUUUGCUAAGUAGCUUAGCUGGCUGACUUAGCCUUGUGAAUACUGAAACUACAAGCAGGUACCACUAUGCUAGGCUCAAUCCAAAUUUGUUUCUGGAGUGGAGCAAGAGCACAGUUGGUCAAGAUACUUACUGCUGAGCCUGACAAGCCAAGGACCCACAUGGUGGAAGGGGCCUGCAAGCUGUCCACAUACACUAUGGCACACAUGUGGACUCAGACAUGCAUGUGCCCGUACACACAUGUGCACCCACCCACACCCACAUGCACAUUUUUAACCAACUAUACUUCUGCAGUUCCUUUAGGGCACUUUGCUAAUCUGCCUGAUCUACCUCACUUUCUCCAGUAUCAAUGAACCUUGUCACCUAUGUCCUUUCCUUAUCAACUGCCCCCUGAACAUGAUGGUCAUGGCCAUUGUUGCUCGAGGUAUCCUGUUCUCAUGUGAUCUUUACCCUUACCCUGAGGUAAUGCCAGGCCCUCUGUGCAGAUGAAGAAGCAGUCUACAAACACUAACUUGCUCGCUGGCAGCUACUACAGAAUGGGAUAGAGCCAGCUGUGGAGGGGGCUUUCCUCCGGAGAGCAGAGGCAGGAUAACACAAACACCACCAAGACCUAUGUAUGUGAUGGAGUCUUUAGCCUGCUCCUCUCAGGCAGUUCCUGGUCCCAAGAGCCUGUCACCAUGAUAACCAGGCAGGGGCAACAGAGUUCCAACCCAUCGUCUUAGAAGUCAAACUUUCCAAAUAAAGAAAGCAGGGGGAGAGGGAAAAAGGGGGAAAGGAAGGAAAGGAGAGGGAGAAAAACAGGGAGAGUUGAAAGUUAUCCAAAGAGGAGGCCUGGCCCUGAGCUGAGAAGGGGCAUUAGGCAGUGAGUAGUACAUGGCGGAGAGGACGCCCACAGGCUCUCAGCGAUCCUACCCACCCCUGUCCAGAAGCUGGAGGGUACAGCUAAGCAAGCGGAGCUUGGCCCUUCCUGCAUCUUCUGGAGUAGCUGCCAUCGCAUCUGCUUUUCAUUGGCCAUGUGAAAAGGUUCCUUCUGGAAAAGGAGAUGGAAAACCACUGACCUUAUCCAAUUGGCCCACCUUUGGAGAUGGAGAAACUGAGGUCAAAGGGGCUGGGGACAGGGAGUCUAAAGAGGGGCGGGGCAGUGUGUGUACACUGGGUAGAUUUGGCUUAGGUGCUCACCUUCCCAGCCCAUCCUGUUAUGUAUAAGCCCACUACAGAGACUCUUGGCUAGAAGCUCCAAACUGGGGCAAACCCAAUGGCAUGCGGGGCAAAGAACACAAGCCCCUGAAGAGCACAAGGCAACCUUUUAGACUCUCUGCUGCCAUAGGCAUUGAUCACAAACUUAACCUGAUGACCUAUAACCUGCUGGAAGGACAUACUUUUCUAUGGGAGCAAUGCAACAGGUGGUACUGCCCAGCCCCUCACUCAGCUUCCACGGUGACGGCUGAAUAAAAGAGUCGAGCACUGUCA